UACGUAGGGUGCAAGCGUUGUCCGGAAUUAUUGGGCGUAAAGAGCUCGUAGGCGGUCUGUCGCGUCGGCUGUGAAAACCCGGGGCUCAACCCCGGGCCUGCAGUCGAUACGGGCAGACUAGAGUGUGGUAGGGGAGACUGGAAUUCCUGGUGUAGCGGUGAAAUGCGCAGAUAUCAGGAGGAACACCGGUGGCGAAGGCGGGUCUCUGGGCCAGUACUGACGCUGAGGAGCGAAAGCGUGGGGAGCAAACAGG
rnacentral:rRNA from 1 species